CACUAAUCACUAAUAUAUUUAUCAUAUAGAGGUUUCGGUAUUGCAAGGUUUGGCUUCUCACCACCAACACUUAGAAUUGUAUUUUGCUUAUGUCAUCAUAUUCAUUUGUAAUGUACAACGAAGUUUCACUAUUGUGGAGCUUAGUUUUAUUGUCCACUUCUUAGAGCUUCUUCUAUAUAUAAUAGAUAACAGAUAAUAAAUAUGUUAU
rnacentral:lncRNA from 1 species